CCUCAGCUUCCCCACGGGUAGAAGUAUGGGAUUGGGCUGGGCCUUCUUUCCCUGGGCGAGCUGUUGUCAGAGUUCUUUUCCAAUACGCCACCCUGGCACUCUCUUCUCUCCCUACUCCCUCUUCUGUUGAGAAACCCCGGCCUGGAAUCCGAGGUCCCUUCCAGUUUCCAAGAUUCUUGUCUUGGCCCCAGGUUACACCCUUCAGUCAGCAGGAAGGAACAGUGUGUUGUGUGUUCUGUCCCAAGGCCCUCCGCAGCCUUCCCAAGGCCCUCAGCCCAAAGAUCAGGGCUGUGCUGGGGAAUUUCUCUCUCCCUCUGACAUGCACAGCGCCCCAAGCCUGGAGCUGCGUGGAAGGGAGUUGUGUUUGCAGAGAUUUCUGAGGACCUGUUGGAGAGCCUGAGCCUUAGCUGGCUCUAAGAAAGGGCUCUCUGACCUCGGGCAAGUCCCUUAAGUUCUCUGAGCUUCAGUUUCCUCAUUUGUAAAACAGAAUAGCCUCACCCACUGUGAUCAGAAGGCUUCUGAGAAGGCAAAACGAGAUGGGUAAUGUGUGUUAACACCUAGCACAGUGCCUGGCACACAGCUGAGGCUCCUUUUGGAGAACCACCGGAAGAGGUUCUACUGGAGAUGAUGCUGGAGAGAUGACACAGGCGGAGAUAAAACACGGUGCAUCUCAAGGCGCAGUAACUAGAACUGAGCAGCGUGACCGUCCACGUCAGUCCUCCUGGUCCUGAUUCUUCCUCAGGGCCAGCGGGCGCCUCUUCCAGGACCGCAGAGGGAGGAGGCCGGUGCUCAGCUGGCUGCCUCUGUGGUUAAGGAGGAGACCCCCGGCCCCGCCCCGCCCUCUGCACACCCUCAGAGGGAGCAGGGCCAUGAUGGAAUGGUCCGGAGCACCCAGAGAAAUGCAAACAGGAUGUGUGUGUGAUUGCGGUUUCCACCAGGAGCUUUGACACCAUCCGAGAGAUAAACUUCUUUGGGGCUUUCCUCUGUACUACAGAAUCAUAGAACAGUAGACCUGGAAGGGGACUUGGGGAUGAUCUGAUGUGGCCUUUACAUCUUACAGGUGAGCCUAGAGAAGGUAAGAAACUUGCCUAAAGACACACAGCAAGUUAGCAGCAGAAUUGGGCUGAGAACCCAGAUUUCCUUUAUAGGAAGCUAUUUCCUGACUGUUAGGCUGCUUCCUACUGGGUCCUCUUAAUUAUCCUGUGAGGUAGGUAAGGUACGCAUUAGCCCAUGGAACCGACGAGGAAAUUAAGACCCAGAGACUAAAUGGCUUGCCAGAAGUCCCCUGGGACCAGUUCAGGCUACGUCACACUGCACUGCAGGGGUGAUGAGUAUGGAGCUGUGCUCGCUCCAGGGAUGGCGUCUGGGUCUGGGUCCAGGUCUGCCUCCCUGGGACUCCCCUUGGCAGAUCCUCUGAAAAUGGGGUCUACAGCUUCCUGGAUUACAGACCAGACCUUUAAUGUGCUCGUUAGUUUUGAUACUUUCAACUUCAGAGGGAAGAGUCAAAGCCCUGAAAAUAGACAAGACCUGGAUGGAGCCAGUCCCAAGUCCAGAUGGGCCUUUGCAUCCACACCUCCCUGGCUUCCUGGGACUGGCUUGACUUUCUCUGGGCCCCGACCCACCUCAAUGUCCAGGCCCUUUCUGUCUCCCAUGGGGGCCUGAAGAGACCUGUUCCAGAUGUCACGCUCAGCUGUCACCGAAGGAAGCGUGGGCUUCAAGACCCAGGGCCCACUGCUCACACUGCUUCUCCACCACUGAGUUCAAGGAAAACAUGACAUAGAAGAGUCUGGAAUGGGGGUGGGGACUGCGAGAGGAAUCCUGGCCAGAGGCCAGGGCACCCUGAUUCCGUGAGUGGAGUGGGCACUGGGGAAGCUGGCCCCAGGGGUCUGCAGGGGCCUCGAGUCCUGCCCCUCAGAAAGG